rnacentral:rRNA from 1 species
AUGGCUCAGGAUGAACGCUAGCGGCAAGGCUUAACACAUGCAAGUCGAGGGCAGCGGGUCUAGCAAUAGAUGCCGGCGACCGGCGAAAGGGUGAGUAACGCGUGAGCAACGUGCCCGUAUGUGGGGGAUAGUCGAUGGAAACGUCGCGUAAUACCCCGUAACACAUUUGGCCGCAUGGCCUUAUGUUGAAAGAUUUAUUGCAUACGGAUCGGCUCGCGUGCCAUUAGGUAGACGGCGGGGUAACGGCCCACCGUGCCGACGAUGGCUAGGGGUUCUGAGAGGAAGGUCCCCCACAUUGGAACUGAGACACGGUCCAGACUCCUACGGGAGGCAGCAGUGAGGAAUAUUGGACAAUGGCCGGAAGGCUGAUCCAGCCAUGCCGCGUGCGGGAAAGACGGCCCUAUGGGUUGUAAACCGCUUUUGCGGGGGAGCAAUAAGAGUCACGUGUGGCUCGAUGAGAGUACCCUGCGAAUAAGCAUCGGCUAACUCCGUGCCAGCCGCAGC